rnacentral:rRNA from 1 species
AGAAUCAACGCUGGCGGCGUGCCUAACACAUGCAAGUCGCACGAGAAAGGGACUUCGGUCCUGAGUACAGUGGCGCACGGGUGAGUAACACGUGAAUUAUCUACCUCCGAGUGGGGAAUAACUGAGAGAAAUCUUAGCUAAUACCGCAUAACACUUACGAGUCAAAGCAGCAAUGCGCUUGGAGAGGAGUUCGCGGCAGAUUAGUUAGUUGGCGGGGUAAUGGCCCACCAAGACGAUGAUCUGUAUCCGGCCUGAGAGGGCGCACGGACACACUGGAACUGAAACACGGUCCAGACUCCUACGGGAGGCAGCAGUGGGGAAUUUUGCGCAAUGGGGGAAACCCUGACGCAGCAACGCCGCGUGGAGGAUGAAAUAUCUUGGUAUGUAAACUCCUUUCGAUGGGGAAGAUAAUGACGGUACCCAUAGAAGAAGCCCGGCUAACUUCGUGCCAGCAGCCGCGGUAA